GUAGGUGGCAAGCGUGUCCGGAAUUAUUGGGCGUAAAGCGCGCGCAGGCGGUCCUUUAAGUCUGAUGUGAAAGCCCACGGCUCAACCGUGGAGGGUCAUUGGAAACUGGGGGACUUGAGUACAGAAGAGGAAAGCGGAAUUCCAAGUGUAGCGGUGAAAUGCGUAGAGAUUUGGAGGAACACCAGUGGCGAAGGCGGCUUUCUGGUCUGUAACUGACGCUGAGGCGCGAAAGCGUGGGGAGCAAACAGGAUUAGAUACCCUGGUAGUCCACGCCGUAAACGAUGAGUGCUAAGUGUUAGGGGGUUUCCCGCCCCCUUAGUGCUGCAGCUAACGCAUUAAGCACUCCGCCUGGGGAGUACGGCCGCAAGGCUG
rnacentral:rRNA from 1 species